GGGUUUCCAUUCGCUGCUGUGGCUGCCUCACGACGGUGGAUUUGAGAAGAGACACGUGUGACAGGCCACAAGUCACACAUACACACAUUUGUGCACAUACACACACAGACACAUGCACACACAUAUACCCAUUACGUCGACCAUCCUCACACAGGUACAAAUACACACACACACACACACACACACACACACUCUGACUCAGACACAUGCACGUAUCCACACACACACCUCUCGGCAGGGGCUCGCGCUGCUCCUGGCUCCGUCGGGAGGAGCACAUUCCACCCUUGUUGGCCCCUUGGCCUCAUGUAGAGCGGAGGCCGCAGGGGGGGUCAGAGGGGUGACGCUGAAUGUCAUACCCACAGAGGAAUGUCUUAAACAAGCAAGCAAACAAAAACAACAACAAAAACAGACUUUCUUUGCACUGUACUAAAACAAUGUAUCAUGUACUUAGUUCUUUACAAACAAAGAAAAGUGUUUUAGCUCUUAACAAAUUGUCCUUCUUAUGUGUGUGUGUGUGUUUGGUAGAUUAUGAGUGCACUACUGAUGUGCAGGAAUGUGGCUUUGAUUUGUUUUGUUCUGUUUUUUGUCUGCUCAGAGUUGUGAAUGGCUAGGCGGUGUCUCUUUUUUUUUCUGUGUGUGUAUGUGUGUGAGAGAGUGAAUGAGUGUGUGUGUGUGUUCCCCUCCAUGUUGCUUUAGCAGACAUUUCAUUAGACUGAUUCAAGACAGAAGGAGGAUUUCAUUUCAUAGUUCCUAUAGGUAUUUGGUUCGCCAACCAGGGAGUUCCCUUGGACGUCACGGUCUGCUCUGGCUUUGACUGGCUAUUUUUCUACCUGUGAAUACUUUAGACACACAAUAGGCACAACUACGGGAGGAGACUCACUGUAAAUAUGAACCAUGCUGAUCGGCAGACCACCAAGGAGACUCCACCGACACCAGGAAUGGGCACUCAUGCCAUCCAAUAGAAAAUGAGAGCCAGUUGUACAACAACAUCAAAUGGCCAGUUGAUUCUGUGUCUGCAGUCAGUAAAUCCUGUUUUUACUGUGUACAUUUACUUUCAUUGACUAUAGGUCAGGGCUGAUCACAUUUAGCAGAGUCAUGCUAUGCUAUCUUAUCUUUGCACAUAAAAUGACAGGAGGGGACAUUAGCCUCAGCAUAUGAAAACACCUACUUGGCUUGGGCGCUUACAUGGCAGAAUUCCUCAGCACGGAGAGAUAUUCCUAUGUCAGAGUGUGUCUACAGGAUUUCGGUGGCUCCGUUGAAGAGAGUAAAGGGAAUGGUUUCUGGGACACUGUGGGAGUUGUAUGUCAACAGCCCCCUGGUAUUCUACCUGCUGUGCAGCUUUCUUCUUAACACCUGGAAGGGUCAUGCCCGAACACAUGCAAUAGCUCCUUCAUCUUCACACAUUUCAUCAUCAUCCUCAUCACCAUCAUCAUCCUCAGUUCUCUGCAUUCAUGGGAAGGACCCAUAGACCCCUAUGGACCCAUUCUGCCAUCAGUUGGUACCAAAGAGGCCCGCUCUGCAGCAGCUUAACCAAGUGCCUGGUGCUGCCUGGUCUGUCUCAUCCCCUCGAUGCUCUCAGAAGAAUGGUGCUAUCUGGAACCUCUGCAGGUGGUUUUUCAGCUCACGCUCCGAGGAGAACCCUUCCAAGAAGAUUCCACUGAGAACCUUUUGGAGAGGAUUCUGUUGAGAAUUCUUCAAGAGGAUUCCACUGAGAACCGUUUUUGAAAGGAUUCUAAUUCAGAAUUCUUCCAGAAGAUUCUGCCGUGAAUCUCCGGAGAGGAUUCUACUCGGAGUUCUACAAGAAGACGCUACUGAGAAUCCUUCAUGAAUAUUCCAUUUUGAGCCCUCAAAGGUGCUAUCUUCAGCCCCAGGGGCUUCAUCCCCCGCUAAAGGGAUCCAUUUUGUUUUCCUGUACAAAUUCACCAGCCCUGACCAAUACAUCCCAGAGUUUCACUCUGCCCUAAUGAAUGUGUUCACCUCUCCUCAGUUCCACCCUUCCUCCAGCCCCUACACCCCCAUGGUCAGCUUGGCUCAUCUGUUACGUGCCGUCAAACUGAACCGAUGGACACUGAGAUGGUGGUGAUUGUGCAUAACACAUUCAAUGCAACUAUAUGAGCUUCAUAAACCUUUAGUUCUAAAGUUGUCACAAGCCAUGUUAGAGGCUCUGUUGACGUGUCAGACAGCCUUUGUGUGAUGAUCAUAGCCUUAUUCUAGAAUACUCUGUCCUGUGGAUACGCUAGCAGUUUGUCCCUUCCGUGAUACCGUAGUUGCAUUGAAUGUACAGUUGGGUAGGGGGAAAAGACAUGAUUGUAUGAAGGAAUGAAUAGAGGCUGCCUUUUUCCCCCCUCUACCCCUGUAUCUUGAGCGAUACCCUUUUGCCCCUGUGGUCCGCAUCAGCACAGCGCAGUCCUGGGUUGCCUUGAACCACUCGAGAAGAAGAGGAGAACGGGAGUACAUACGGUGGUGUUUCUUUGAGCACUUCCACCAAUCACCAGGGGGAUGGUCAGAGAAAUGUUGUGUUGUUAUUUGCGGCGAUGUGUCAGCUGAUGAGGCUGACAUUAUAGCACACAGUGAUCCGAGACCUCCUGUUAGAUUUACAGUCUUGUCUGGGCCGGAUGACAAGUUAUCCCUGAACUUGUGAUAUAAUGUAAUGUAUGUCUGUUAAAGCUGCUGAAUCCAUGAGAAGAAGAAAAUAAAACCCAUCAACAAUAAAACAAAGAAAUGGUACAUUAA